AUGGACCGGCCGGUGAGCGCGGCGUACGGGACGUGGCCCCUCCUCUCCGUACCCAAGGCCUUGUGCCUGGUAGGGAGGCUGCCGAAGACGGUGUCCGCGGAGAUGCGGUGGGUGAUCCCCGACGGCGCUUCUGAAGAGGAUGAGGUCGAUAGCUCCGACGACGGUGACCGGGGCACUGCGACCCCACGGUCGCCCUCGGCUCCCGUGGUGGCGGUGGCGGCUACUCGGACGCUCAAGAGGAUGUGGAGGGCGCGCUGCUGCGCCAGCGCUUCGGCCGCGUCGGCUCGUUCGACGUCGAAGCUCCCGAUGUCCCGGACACUGGAGGAUGUGAUAUCCAAAAAACAAGAAAUCCGGGAGGCAGUUGAGCUACCAUUGACACACCAUGAGUUGUACUGCUCUAUGGUCCUUUAG
rnacentral:rRNA from 1 species